rnacentral:rRNA from 1 species
AUGACGAACGCUGGCGGCGUGCCUAAUACAUGCAAGUCGAGCGGACCGGAUCGGAGCUUGCUCUGGUUUGGUCAGCGGCGGACGGGUGAGUAACACGUGGGCAACCUGCCCGCAAGACCGGGAUAACUCCGGGAAACCGGAGCUAAUACCGGAUAACACCGAAGACCGCAUGGUCUUUGGUUGAAAGGCGGCCUUUGGCUGUCACUUGCGGAUGGGCCCGCGGCGCAUUAGCUAGUUGGUGAGGUAACGGCUCACCAAGGCGACGAUGCGUAGCCGGCCUGAGAGGGUGACCGGCCACACUGGGACUGAGACACGGCCCAGACUCCUACGGGAGGCAGCAGUAGGGAAUCUUCCGCAAUGGACGAAAGUCUGACGGAGCGACGCCGCGUGAGCGAAGAAGGCCUUCGGGUCGUAAAGCUCUGUUGUGAGGGACGAAGGAGCGCCGUUUGAACAAGGCGGCGCGGUGACGGUACCUCACGAGGAAGCCCCGGCUAACUACGUGCCAGCAGCCGCGGUAAUACGUAGGGGGCGAGCGUUGUCCGGAAUUAUUGGGCGUAAAGCGCGCGCAGGCGGUUCCUUAAGUCUGAUGUGAAAGCCCACGGCUCAACCGUGGAGGGUCAUUGGAAACUGGGGGACUUGAGUGCAGGAGAGGAGAGCGGAAUUCCACGUGUAGCGGUGAAAUGCGUAGAGAUGUGGAGGAACACCAGUGGCGAAGGCGGCUCUCUGGCCUGCAACUGACGCUGAGGCGCGAAAGCGUGGGGAGCAAACAGGAUUAGAUACCCUGGUAGUCCACGCCGUAUACGAUGAGUGCUAAGUGUUAGAGGGGUCACACCCUUUAGUGCUGCAGCUAACGCGAUAAGCACUCCGCCUGGGGAGUACGGCCGCAAGGCUGAAACUCAAGGGAAUUG